rnacentral:pre_miRNA from 1 species
UUUAUGUAUAGAAAUGAGUUUAUGUAUUCAACUUUGAUCGUCUAUUUUAUUUUAAAAAAAUAUUAAUAUUUUAAUUAUUAUUAGAUGAUAAAAUAUGAAUAAUAUUUUAUGCACGAUUUAUAUUUUUAAAUCUUUUUAAAUAAGAUGCACGAUUAAAGUUGGAUAUAGAAACUGAUAAACGUGUUUAAA